GUUUCUCAAGAUUUAGCUUUUUGUAUUGUAAAUUUUUCUUUUUGUUAACAUGAGAAGCAUGUCGUAUGAUUAAGUGAAAAACUUACAGUAAUGGUUCUCAUCUCUAUUCUGUUGUUUUCAAAGCUGGCAUUGGAAUUCUUUACGUUAAAUGCGGUUUUGCACAUUUUUGGAUAUUGAUAGAAAAGGUUGUAAAUAUUGGAAAGCUGGAUUUUGUGUCAUUUGCUUUUAGUUUGGGU
rnacentral:misc_RNA from 1 species